ACGAAGGGUGCAAGCGUUACUCGGAAUUACUGGGCGUAAAGCGUGCGUAGGUGGUUCGCUAAGUCCGAUGUGAAAGCCCUGGGCUCAACCUGGGAAUGGCAUUGGAUACUGGCGGGCUAGAGUGCGGUAGAGGAUGGCGGAAUUCCCGGUGUAGCAGUGAAAUGCGUAGAUAUCGGGAGGAACACCAGUGGCGAAGGCGGCUACCUGGCCCAUUCUUGACGCUGAGGCGCGAAAGCUAGGGGAGCGAACGGGA
rnacentral:rRNA from 1 species